CUUGCCCCCUAGAAACAUUGCAGGUGUGGCUGCUAUGUCACAUGUCAGUAGGUGGCAGGGAGGAGAGAGGCUAUGUCUACGCUCAGUGUUCUGACCUAUGAACAUCUGAACAAUUAGUAGUCUAACACA